rnacentral:lncRNA from 1 species
UCACUUUCACUCAGGAGAAUGUUUUUCAGAAUAGUCAAAGUAUGUGGGAAAAGACAAAAAGGAGAGUUUAUCAGAGAACACGAGAUAGCAUAGUUAGGUUAGAUUUUAUACAGAAUUCAGUUUCUCCCGUCUGUAUCUCUCAGCCAGAGCUUUCUCCCGCCGGAGAGUUUGCGAGCUUUUCAAGCUUUUCUGGCUAACGUGCCGAUGUGUGCAGCUGUUGAACGAAACCUACGGUGGGAUAAUUCUCGCCAUGCUCCUUAUGUCUUCCGUCCAGUUGAUAGCCAUACCACAGUACUUCAUCAUACCCUUGUUCUACACCACCGAAACUGUCACGACUUUCCUGAAACUCAGCGCUCUCUGCGAUGCCCUAUGGAUGUGCGUCGUUGCUUGUGAGCUUAUCGUGUUGGUGGUCCCGCCAGCUCUUGCGUCAGUCGAGCUGAAAACAUUUGCAUUUCGACAAUAUUGUGCACACCUCGAAUUUCAGGCGACGUAUAUAUUAGCAUUGAAGUUACCGUUAUUGACGUCGGUGAUUGGUAUCGUCACGACGUAUCUUCUAUUUUCUGUUCAAAUUCGGAAUGCAGUUUCGAAUUUCUAGCAGGACUGCCCUAAAACCGACAGCGGGUACACUUAAACUGGACAAGACAUUUACUGGGUGGGUUGACCGCCUCCUCGGUAGAUCAACUUACUCAUGCAAUAAUAUAAAGAUGGACCCUAACAUGAAAAUUCUUUCAUUUUUUUAUUUAUAUUUUUCAAACGAUCAAAAGAUAGAAUCUGUGGUUAAAAUUGGUAUUGGCAAAUGUUGAAGGCACAUCAGAAUUAUACGGUGCAUUUAUAUUUACCCCUCGGCGGGAAAGGCAUUUUGAUAGCUUUUCGGAAUAACUCAUGUGUAAAUUCAUUGUGUCUUUAAGUAUCACCCGUGAAAAUUGUAUGAUCCUUAUUGAGCUAAUGUUGCUAUUUUUUCCCCAGGAUAGGUGAAUAAAAUACUAGACUAUGUUUAUUUCGUGUGGGCACAUCCGAUAAAAGUAGCCGAGUGCUUUUGACAAAAAUAACAGCAUGGAAUUAAUAUACACUUGCCCACCUGCCAGGACUUAUUUUGCACCAGAUCUUUCAGCAGACACCAAGAAAUAUUCCUCUGGUUCUCGAGGGGAUACUCUUGAAGUACUAAUAUAUACUUUUUCUGACAAAACCCCGCUAAUAAUAUUACAUUUAUUUUAAAAAUUUUCUCAAAACGUCUUCUUCCUAAAUAUUGUCUUAUGUGUAUGAAAUUUUGGGCUGUUUUGGAGCAAAUCAAAAUUCAAUUUCGAUUUUUUCAUCCAAUUACAUCACACUUUUAGAGCACAAUAUAGUAGCUACUAUGGUAUGCAGACAGUACGUCUACAGAAAAAAGGGCUACAAAAAAAGGGCUACAAUUUUUAGUCUACAUUCAAAACGUCUACAUUAAAAUGCUUACUGAAAUUAUGUCUACAGUUAAAUAUGUCUACGCUAUUAAAAUUUCUACGGUUUGUUUGCCCUCUUAGAAAAUGUCAAAAUAUGUAUGUUGGCCACUAAAAAUAUAUAAAAUAUAUUUAUGAAAUAAAAAAAUAAAUAAAAUAUAUAUCAAAUAUACAUGUUGAUAUUUAUAGGAUCAAUUAUUCGCGAAAUGUGACUCACAAUUUUUACGCAUCAGCUUCUGCAGCAUCCACAGCCUCGUCUUGUCUUUGGGAAUACACUUUCAAAUGAGAUUUUUAUUAGACGACGUAAAUACGAACUUUGACAUUCUUGGAGUAGGCAGUCAAACCAAAGACAUUUUAAUAUCGCAGACAUAUUUUACUAUAGACAUUAUUUUAAUAGGCAUUUUCAUGUAGACAUUUUGACUGUAGACCAAAAAAGGUAGCCCUUUUUCUUGUAGACCUACUGUCCGUAAACCGCUACUAUACAGAGGACUCUGGAGGAGAAUUUGCCUUGAAGUUGCUGCUUGAUCAUAGCAGCGCUCCUUGCCAAAAAUUACCUUGUCAUUUAAUCAUAGAACGAGGGUAUUUUCACCUUAAUUUAAUGUUUAAAUGUCAAACUUAACCUAUGAAACAGAUCAACGACCUUUUUUCACCUCCUUACAUCUCUAUAAAUUAUAUAUAAGUGCUGAGAAGCUUCUGUUGACGACAAACCGUGCGGCAGAGGCGAUCGGUUUUAUUAUUUUAUGUCCCACGAGGCGAUGUCUAAAUUUAAAUGUUUCAAUAUGGGACGUAGACUCAACAAUAACACAAUUCAACGAUUUAAAAGAAAGGUCAUGACCGAACAUUAUUUUACAAUGUUGCUUUUUGUCACAAAACACCCAGUCUCAGAUCGAAAAGAAUGACAAAUGACUGAAAGUAGUGCCUUUAAAUCGUGUCUGUCAGAGAAUGACACCUUCCUUCUUAUAAAUAACUCUAUGGAUACGAUAUUUCUUUUAAAGAACAAUCAUAUUUACCCUUUUAUUAUGUUGAAGAAUUGAAAUAACGACAAGAUUGUCCUUAAUUAUCCGAGGACUUUCCGCUCAGUCUAAUUUUUUCGACAUAGUUUGCAUGAGGUGCUGGAAUAUCUAGCUAACUUUGUUUCCAACAUACUUCAAAGAAUAUAAAUCUGUGCUAGUCAAGUGUGUACUUGGUUGAAACGUGUUCUUUUAAGAAUAGCGUGUCUGUGGGACUGUUAAUCAUCAGCUUUCAUCACUCUUUAGCCUAUUCGCAGCAAUUGUUUAGCUUACUGAGUUGAAGUGAUUCUACCAGGAAUGAUGAACAUCGAUGAUUCCCUCUGUCACAGACACGUUAAUUUGUAUAUUCUUAAGGAAAUAGAAGGAAAUAGAUAGAGUGAAUCUGAACUUCGUAGGGUUGAGAAUUGGAAAAAUCACGUGCAAUGGCUGAGCUGUGCUCAUUUUAUCAUAUAUUUUAGGUUAAAUGGUAUCUACCAUAAUUUGGACUCUUUCCAUAGAUGAUAUUGGAAUUGAAUUAUACAGCCAUAGAAAUACACGAACUUGUGAUCUGCAUGCGUACAACUUAUAAUAUGCGAAACUGGACAUACCAACCUUGCAG